AGCGAACGCUGGCGGCAGGCCUAACACAUGCAAGUCGAACGAAGUCUUCGGACUUAGUGGCGGACGGGUGAGUAACACGUGGGAACGUACCUUUUGGUUCGGAAUAACUGAGGGAAACUUCAGCUAAUACCGGAUAAGCUCUUCGGAGGCAAGAUUUAUCGCCAUUAGAGCGGCCCGCGUUAGAUUAGGUAGUUGGUGUGGUAAAGGCGCACCAAGCCUACGAUCCAUAGCUGGUCUGAGAGGAUGAUCAGCCACACUGGGACUGAGACACGGCCCAGACUCCUACGGGAGGCAGCAGUGGGGAAUCUUGCGCAAUGGUCGAAAGACUGACGCAGCCAUGCCGCGUGAAUGAUGAAGGUCUUAGGAUUGUAAAAUUCUUUUAGCAGGGACGAUAAUGACGGUACCUGCAGAAAAAGCCCCGGCUAACUUCGUGCCAGCCGCCGCAGUAA
rnacentral:rRNA from 1 species